GCUUUCGUGGUAUAGUGGUCAGCACGCUCAGUGCGUAUUCGAGAGGUCCGUGGUUCAAAUCCCGGCAAGGGCA
rnacentral:tRNA from 1 species